AGAAGGAAAGGUACUGGGAGCAGAGCUAGUGAUCCAGCAAAUGAGACAGAGAGACCAGUGACUGAGGGGGAGAAGGGCAAGAGCGGCUGGAAGGAGAGAGCAGGACAGAGGCAAGGGGGGAGGGUGAUAUAGGAAAGAGGGACAGCAGGGGAAUAGAGACAGCAGGGGAAUAGAGACAGCAGGGCAAUCAGAAGGGGAAAAGAUAAGGGAACCCAAGUGAGAGAGGCACAAGGAGAGCAGGGGGAGAGCCCAUAGGGGCAAUGGGAAUUACUGUGAGGGGCUAGUGAUACAGGGAUGGGAAGCACAGACUGAGAGCUUUAAUAUCAGGGGGUCCGGGGUCACUAGGGAGACUGUCACUCAGUGAGGGAGGCAAGUAACGGGGGGCACAAGGGGGCUUAUGAUUUGGGCACAGACCGCUGAGACAUUGGCUUAGGGUGCAUGAAGCGAUUCGCUGCGUAUCUGGGCUGGAGCUUCCCAUCAGGCACAGGGGGGCACUCACUGCACUUACUGGCAGGCAGGGCCGGGGCUCACUACUCUGUUAGGCUGAGGAACGGGACAGGCUUUUCUGCAAUGCUUUGUUGAGGCUUUUCACUUUGGAAGACUGGUUAGAGGCACAGGGGAGAGCUCACAGGGAGGCUGGGUGCAUGGAGAGGAGAGGGGCUGACUGAAGCGCAGGGAAACGCUCACUGGAACGCUCAGAGGCAGACUGAAGCGCAGGGAAACGCUCACUGGAAGUCGCAGAGGCAGACUGAAGCGCAGGGAAACGCUCACUGGAAGUCGCAGAGGCAGACUGAAGCGCAGGGAAACGCUCACUGGAAGUCGCAGAGGCAGACUGAAGCGCAGCUGAACGCUCACUGGAAGUCACAGAGGCUCACUGGAAGUCUCAGAGGCUCACUGGAAGUCGCAGAGGCUCACUGGAAGUCUCAGAGGCUCACUGGAAGUCUCAGAGGCUGACUGAAGCGCAGCUGAACGCUCACUGGAAGUCUCAGGACUCUACAAAGCUAAGUGGAGGCAGAGCAGAACCCUGGAAGGCUGAGUACAAACCUGGAGAGGCUGAAGUCUAAAGUGGAGGCAAAAGGGGCGGAGUAAAUGGGAGACCUGGAGCUGUAGGGCACGUGUUUGGAGGGGCGGGGAGUGAAAGUUGUAGGAGGGGUGGGUAGUUUGAGGGGGUCUCUAGGGAAAGGGUAGGAGGAGCUAGACUAAAGAAGAGGGUCCAUGUGGGAGUGUUAUAACGGGAUCUGAAUUGAGGAUUGUGGAAGGGCGGAGUUGCAGUGCCUCAGUAGGAGCAGUACAGACUUUCCGAUAGAAUGUGCUCCUUGGGGGCGGACCUUUGGAUUUUCCUCUUGCUUCUUCCGGCUUGCGCACCUGCGCACCCCGCUGCGCGACCUCCCGCAGGCGUGGAUGAAUGCGCAGAAGGCAUUGAUAACUGCCAUGCAGACGCUAUAUGCCAGGAUACACCCAGCUCCUUCAAAUGUAUUUGUAAAACCGGCUUUAAAGGGGAAGGAACGGAUUGUGAAGACAUUGAUGAAUGCGAUAAUGAAUUUAAUGGAGACUGCGUCCAUGAGUGCGCCAACAUCUCGGGCAAUUACCGCUGCACUUGCUAUGAUGGAUUCAAGUUGGCACACGAUGGGCACAACUGCCUAGACGUGGACGAGUGCUCACACAACAAUGGCGGAUGCCAACAUACCUGCGUCAACACGAUGGGAAGCUAUGAGUGUCGCUGCAAAGAGGGCUUCUUCCUGAGCGACAACCAGCACACGUGCAUUCACCGCUCAGAAGAGGGGUUAAGUUGCAUGAACAAAGACCACGGCUGUGCCCACAUCUGUAGAGAGAGUCCCAGGGGCGGAGCGUCCUGUGAUUGCCGACCCGGCUUUGAACUGGCAAAGAACCAGCGCCACUGUAUCUUGACAUGUAACCAUGGGAACGGAGGAUGCCAGCAUACGUGCAAUGAUACAGAUAGUGGUCCAGUCUGCAGUUGCCAUCCAAAGUACACUAUGCACUCUAAUGGGAAGUCCUGCAUUGAGAAGGAGGAACCGGAGAGUAAUUCCACCGCUGCGUCGGACAUGGACAAGCGAGUGAAGCGGCGGCUGGUAAUGGAAACCUGUGCAGUUAAUAAUGGUGGGUGCGACCGCACAUGUAGGGACACAUCGACUGGCGUCCGCUGCAGUUGCCCUGUUGGCUUCACCCUGCAGUUUGAUGGGAAGACUUGUAAAGAUAUUGACGAAUGCCAGAACAGUAACGGUGGAUGUGACCAUUUCUGCAGAAACACCGUUGGGAGCUUCGACUGUAGCUGCAAAAUGGGCUUCAAAUUGUUAACAGAUGAGAAGUCGUGUCAAGAUGUCGAUGAAUGUUCUUUUGAGCGGACAUGUGACCACACCUGCAUCAAUUACCCAGGAUCCUUUGCCUGUACCUGUGACAAAGGUUAUACAUUAUAUGGGAUCACCCACUGUGGAGACAUUAAUGAAUGCAGCAUCAACAAUGGCGGAUGCCAGCACGCCUGCGUCAACACAGUUGGCAGUUACUUGUGCCAGUGCCACCCUCGGUAUAAACUUCACUGGAACAACAGAGACUGUGUCGAGGUAGAGAGCGCCCCUCCCGCUUUUGUAUCGCCAAAAGCCAUUCUGCGUUGUGUUAAGAAUGGUGGGAAUGAAAGGUGUUUCCUAAGCUGCCAGUCUGAUGUUCAUUCUGUUCCUGGGCUGCACGAUGCUUUCAGCCUCACCUGUGGAUCUCCUGUGCCUCUCAGGUCCCAAAAUGGGAGAAAUAACGAAUCGCUUAAUGCAGAUGUGGCGACAGUCAGAACAAGCACGACGUUCAAAGUCACCGAGGGAACGUGCCGAGUGAGGAGGUCGGAUCUGAACCAGGAUUUCUCCCAGCAGAAAGGAUCAGAGAAACACAAUGUGCUGUACGAGAGAUUCUGCUUUGUGAAUAUAACGUGCAGGAGCAGGGCCGGCGCCGGACAGAAGGGAGCGGCCAAGGAAACCUUUCUCACUGCCGAAUUUGAGGCUGAAUUAAACUACAAGGAGGUGACAGACUCCUGCAGCUUCACGUGCGCCCGGAGGAAAGCGGAGAAACGGAUGCGCAAGACGUUCCGGACGUUACGCAAAGCCAUCAGCAAGCAGCAGUUCCACGCCCGCCUCUCCGGGAAGGAGCUCGACGUCGGCAAAAAGUCCUCCAGGCAGUCGGAUUCACAGGAGAUGUGUGGCACAGGGCAAGUACGAGUGGACGGCAAAUGUGUCAGCUGCCAGGCGGGGACUUACUAUGACGGUGACAAGGAACAGUGUGUCCUGUGCCCUAAUGGAACAUAUCAGACCGAGGAGGGGCAAAUAACCUGUGAAACUUGCCCCGGCCCUGAGACCAGAGAGAACCAGAGGACAGCGGGAGCUCGUUAUAUAACGGAGUGUGUAGGUGUUUGCCCACCGGGCGAGUUCUCCGCUGAUGGUUUCAGACCAUGUGACUCGUGCCCGCUUGGCACCUACCAGCCUGACGGGGGGCGCACCUCCUGCUUUCCAUGUGGGGGCAACCUGAUCACCAAGCACCCCGGAUCCACUUCAUUCCAAGAAUGUGAAACGAGAGUUCAGUGCUCCCCGGGACAUUCCUACAACACCACGACGCAUAGAUGUGUCCGAUGCCCCGUGGGCACCUACCAGCCAGAGUUUGGGCAGAAUUAUUGCGUAUCCUGCCCCGGAAACACCAGCACGGACUUCGACGGCUCCACCAACGUGACCCAGUGUAAAAGCAGUGUGGGGGGGAACUGGGAGACUUCACCGGGUUCAUCGAAUCCCCCAAUUACCCGGGAAACUACCCGGCAAACACGGAAUGCACGUGGAACAUUAAUCCGCCGCCCAAGAGGCGCAUCCUGAUCGUGGUGCCGGAGAUAUUUCUGCCCAUAGAAGACGACUGCGGAGACUAUUUGGUGAUGAGGAAGAGCGCUUCAUCCAAUUCCGUGACCACGUAUGAGACGUGUCAGACCUACGAGCGGCCAAUCGCUUUCACCUCCAGAUCCAAAAAGCUUUGGAUCCAGUUCAGGUCGAACGAAGGGAACAGCGCCAAGGGCUUCCAGGUCCCGUAUGUCACGUAUGACGAAGACUAUCAGGAGCUGAUCGAGGACAUUGUCAGGGACGGGCGGCUGUACGCGUCGGAGAAUCACCAAGAGAUUCUCAAGGAUAAGAAGCUCAUUAAGGCCCUGUUCGACGUAUUGGCGCACCCGCAGAACUACUUUAAAUACACGGCGCAGGAAUCGCGGGAGAUGUUCCCCAAGUCCUUCAUCCGACUCCUGCGCGCCAAGGUGUCCCGAUUCCUACGCCCUUACAAGUAACAGCUCCGCCCCCCCCCCACCGCCGGGACUUUAUCGUAAGAACAACGCGUUUCGCUUAUUCGCUGGAGCAGUCCGGCCCACACCGCUGUGUGUAUUGUAAAUAUCCGGAUAAACGGACUUUUGCUGAACGCGCAGAUUAGUACGGAAUAUAGAGACGCUUCUGGGCCACGGACCCUGCCCAGUAUAUAAUCCAACCAAUCAAAUUGCUUCUACGAGUGCAACUGGGAUACCAAGAUCUCCCAGGAUACCCCAUGGGCACCUUCCCACCAAGCCAACCCUCCCCAUUAAUAACUAUCAGAACCUUCCUCACUGGGUCCAUUAGAACCCGAUUCCCUCCAGUCUGAGAGAAGGGGGCGUUUCCCUUUGGGUUUCCGAAUGCGACGGCGCAACGGAUUGGACCUUUUGGCUUUGGAUUUCAGAACCUAAUGAUUCCCACUGGGCCGGAUGGAUUUAACUGCAAGAACACUUGGGGCGUAGGAAUAUUUCCCCUUGAAUUUGAAUCCUUGGUAUCAACUCCCUUGUCUAUAGGGCGAUAAAGCAGCUUUGGUUGAGUUGGGGGGUCAUUAUAAGGGGACUCCUUUGGCACUGGUUUCUAGGGUAAGAUUACCUGGCAACCAAAGAGUAGAUUAAAUACCAGAACACAGAACUAUUAAAGUGAAUAUUGCAUUCAUUAUGUGCCCCCCCCUGUGCAAAUGGACAAGUCUAUGGAGUGGAUCCUCUCCCACCAAUGAGGGAACUGCCCCGGGGCAAUUACAGAUUUAGCUCCGGCGCCGAGGAGCUGACACUUUAUCCGGGGGCCACACGGACCAAUGACUUUGUGAUUGUACAUAAUGUAAAAACGAAAGCUUUUCUAGACUUCAUACAGAUCGUAUCUGUCGGAUUUAGAGUUAGGAUUUGGGGGGGGGGAGAGUAUUUUUGUAGAGUAUAAAAGCGCUUAUUCCCCUCCCUGGGAUUUACUGCGAGGAGCGAGGGAGGCGGCGCUUACGCACGGAUAUCGCUUUAUCCGCUUCCGACCAACACAAACGUUCCCCGUAGGAUUCCCUGUUCCUCUAUAUUCACCCUCCGUAUGGAACCCAAUGUACCCCCGGCUGGUUUCUACUUCCCUUCAGGUACCCCCAACCUCAUUCUUUAUGUAAUUGGAACUCUGUAUAUAUCUAUAAAGAAUAAAAUCUCAGUAAAUUAUA